rnacentral:rRNA from 1 species
CCUACGGGAGGCAGCAGUGGGGAAUAUUGCGCAAUGGGCGAAAGCCUGACGCAGCGACGCCGCGUGAGGGAUGAAGGUCUUCGGAUCGUAAACCUCUGUCAGCAGGGCAGAACGGUCAAUGUGCUACUCAGCAGUGAAUUGACGGUACCGGCAAAGGAAGCACCGGCUAACCCCGGGCCAGCAGCCGUGGUAAUACGGAGGGUGCGAGCGGUAAUCGGUAUUACGGGGCGUAAAGCGCUCGUAGGCGGUAUGUCAAGCCAAGGGUGAAACCCCCACGAUCAACGUAGGAACAGCCUUUGAAACUGGCAAACUUGAGUGUGUGAGAGGAUAGUGGAAUUCCAGGUGUAGGAGUGAAAUCCGUAGAUAUCUGGAGGAACAUCAGUGGCGAAGGCGACUAUCUGGCACAUAACUGACGCUGAGGAGCGAAAGCGUGGGUAGCAAACAGGAUUAGAUACCCUAGUAGUC